rnacentral:ncRNA from 1 species
UAUUUUUUGAGUUUGAUGAUGGCUCUGAUUGAACGCUGUCCAAGUACUUGACACAUGCUAAUCGUACGACUUUAUUUUUUUUUGUAAAGUAGUGGUGUACAGGUGAGUAAAUGAUAAUUUGGCUACCUUAAAGUAAGAGUAAAUCUCUUAUAAAAGAAAAGGAAAUCAAAAUUCUGCUUUAAGAUGUUAAUCUUUAUCUCGGUGAAGUAGUAGAAGAGGUAAUGUCUUUUUCUAGCUAACACUCGUAGUCGUGACUGAGAGGUCGAUCGACCACAUUGGGUCUGAAAAAACCCCAAUGCGUAUUAGUACAGCAGUGAGGGAUAUUGGUCAAUGGUCUAACGACUGAACCAGUAACUUGGAAGAAUGUAUGUAUUAUAAUUAAUACAAUAACGAUUAAUUCGUAUAAAAUUCUAAAUAGGAUAAUGAUAAUGACAAUUUCCUAUUUAUAAGUCUUGACCAAAUUACGUGCCAGCAGUCGCGGUAAUACGUAGAAGACUAGUGUUAGUCAUCUUUAUUAGGUUUAAAGGGUACCUAGACGGUAAAUAACACUUAAAUAGAGUAUUUAUUUACUAGAGUUUUAUAAGAGAAGGAAGAACUUCUGGAGUAGUGAUAAAAUAUGUUGAUACCAGAGGGACUGGUAACGGCGAAGGCAUCCUUCUAUGUAAAAACUGACGUUGAGGGACGAAGGCUUGGGUAGCAAUAAGGAUUAGAUACCCUAGUAGUCCAAGCAGAAAAUGAUGAAUGUCAUAGACUAGAUAAAAAUUUAGUCU